rnacentral:rRNA from 1 species
UACGGAGGGGGCUAGCGUUGUUCGGAAUUACUGGGCGUAAAGCGCACGUAGGCGGCUUUGUAAGUUAGAGGUGAAAGCCCGGGGCUCAACUCCGGAAUUGCCUUUAAGACUGCAUCGCUAGAAUUGUGGAGAGGUAAGUGGAAUUCCGAGUGUAGAGGUGAAAUUCGUAGAUAUUCGGAAGAACACCAGUGGCGAAGGCGACUUACUGGACAGAUAUUGACGCUGAGGUGCGAAAGCGUGGGGAGCAAACGGG